rnacentral:rRNA from 1 species
AACGAACGCUGGCGGCAGGCCUAACACAUGCAAGUCGAACGAACCUUUUAGGUGAGUGGCGCACGGGUGCGUAACACGUGGGAAUCUACCCUUAACUACGGAAUAACGUCUGGAAACGGACGCUAAUACCGUAUAAUGACUUCGGUCCAAAGAUUUAUCGGUUAAGGAUGAGCCCGCGUCUGAUUAGCUAGUUGGUGAGGUAAUGGCUCACCAAGGCGAUGAUCAGUAGCUGGUCUGAGAGGAUGAUCAGCCACACUGGGACUGAGACACGGCCCAGACUCCUACGGGAGGCAGCAGUGAGGAAUAUUGGACAAUGGGGGCAACCCUGAUCCAGCCAUGCCGCGUGAGUGAAGAAGGCCUUAGGGUUGUAAAGCUCUUUCAAUAGUGAAGAUAAUGACGGUAGCUAUAGAAGAAGCCCCGGCUAAAUUCG